rnacentral:rRNA from 1 species
AGAUUGAACGCUGGCGGCAUGCCUUACACAUGCAAGUCGAGCGGCAGCGCGGGGGCAACCCUGGCGGCGAGCGGCGAACGGGUGAGUAAUACAUCGGAACGUGUCCAGUAGCGGGGGAUAGCCCGGCGAAAGCCGGAUUAAUACCGCAUACGAUCUACGGAUGAAAGCGGGGGACCGCAAGGCCCCGCACUAUUGGAGCGGCCGAUGUCGGAUUAGCUAGUUGGACGGGUAAAAGCCCACCAAGGCGACGAUCCGUAGCUGGUCUGAGAGGACGACCAGCCACACUGGAACUGAGACACGGUCCAGACUCCGUACGGGAGGCAGCAGGUGGGGUAAUUUGGACAAGUGGGGGCAACCCUGGACUCCGAGCCAUCGGCCGCGUGAGUGAAGAAGGUCCGUUGGUUAGAAGUCUCGUUCGGCGGGUACGAACGGUUCG